rnacentral:lncRNA from 1 species
GUUGGCCUCAAAUCUACAGUGCUCUAGAACCCAGCAAAGACCUCCUAAUGCAGGCAGCCCCCGGCCACACGCAGGGGCAAGGGGAACGCAUGCGCACCGGGCCCUUCAACCCCAUCGCCAAGCCUACCCACCUCCUUUCUCAGGGCUGAGAUGCCGUCGAGGAUGUACCGAAUUUGUUUGUCAAUUCGUUCUGAAGAGAAAAUAAACCCGAAGAAGGAACCAUAAUGGGAAAAUUGAAGACUGACUAGAGGCUUCUCGUUCCUGACUCUGGUCUGGAUGUAUUUGUACUAGAAGAUGAGUAUUUGCACUAUAAGAAUAGUAGCCCCAGUGGAGAAGGUGGGACAAAGUGAGUUUCAGGAGAAGAAGGCACUAAAAUGAUAAAACAAACAAAUGAACAAUCAGAUAUGGAAUAUCUAACAGACUUAAAAGGUGAAGGAAUGUGAGUUUGAGAAGAUUCCAGCAUUUUAGCCUUGAGUGACUAUUCCCUCUAAACUUCUAUGAAAUGCUGCUGUUCUGCCUACACAUAACUCUGACAGUGAGGUUCCAGCCGGGCCCCUGGCUCAGGCAGAUAGUCCUGGAUUUGGUGCUGCUGCUGGCUGAUGCUCAUGUUUGUGGCUG